CUGGUUGAGAAGGACAGUAGCUGAUUGGUAACCUGACCCCCCUGCUCUCUUCCUUUGAAGGAGCCUGCAAGCAGGAGAGAGAUGUGAGGAUUGGAGAAUGAUUGCCCAAGAGGAGCAAAGGAGCUUCCGCUCUCCUAUGCAGCCUGCCACAGGGGAAAGGAAGAGAGGGGCAAAGUGAGUGGCAGCAAGGAUUGAAGGGUCCCAGUGGGAGCACUAAACUGGGGAGUGCCAUUCCUAAACCAUGACAUGCUUUUUAAACAGUUGGUGGAGAGAACAGCUGAAGACAUCAAGAAGUUUCUUACAACCUGGCCAAAGGAUUUAUUUUAUGGUCCAUGAGGAUAAAAGUUCUGCACUGAAGAUUUUGGAAGAUGGACAAAUCCUUUAAAGGCUAGUACCAGGUGAUAGCUG